rnacentral:rRNA from 1 species
GACGAACGCUGGCGGCGUGCUUAACACAUGCAAGUCGAACGGUGACGGGAGCUUGCUCCCCUGAUCAGUGGCGAACGGUGAGUAACACGUGGGCAAUCUGCCCCUGACUUCGGGAUAACGCUUCGAAAGAGGUGCUAAUACCGGAUAUGAACCUCGCAGGCAUCUGCGAGGUUGGAAAGUUUCUCGGUCAGGGAUGAGCCCGCGGCCUAUCAGCUAGUUGGUGAGGUAAUGGGCUCACCAAGGCGACGACGGGUAGCCGGCCUGAGAGGGCGACCGGCCACACUGGGACUGAGACACGGCCCAGACUCCUACGGGAGGCAGCAGUGGGGAAUAUUGCGCAAUGGGCGAAAGCCUGACGCAGCAACGCCGCGUGAGGGAUGACGGCCUC